AACGAACGCUGGCGGCAUGCCUAACACAUGCAAGUCGAACGAGACCUUCGGGUCUAGUGGCGCACGGGUGCGUAACGCGUGGGAACCUGCCCUUAGGUUCGGAAUAACUCCCCGAAAGGGGUGCUAAUACCGGAUAAUGUCUUCGGACCAAAGAUUUAUCGCCUUUGGAUGGGCCCGCGUUGUAUUAGCUAGUUGGUAGGGUAAAAGCCUACCAAGGCGACGAUCCAUAGCUGGUCUGAGAGGAUGAUCAGCCACACUGGGACUGAGACACGGCCCAGACUACUACGGGAGGCAGCAGUGGGGAAUAUUGGACAAUGGGCGAAAGCCUGAUGCAGCAAUGCCGCGUGAGUGAUGAAGGCCUUAGGGUUGUAAAGCUCUUUUACACGGGAUGAUAAUGACAGUACCGGGAGAAUAAGCUCCGGCUAACUCCGUG
rnacentral:rRNA from 1 species